rnacentral:rRNA from 1 species
CCUACGGGGAGCAGCAGUGGGGAAUAUUGGACAAUGGGCGAAAGCCUGAUCCAGCCAUGCCGCGUGUGUGAAGAAGGCCUUCGGGUUGUAAAGCACUUUCAGUGGGGAAGAAAGCCUUGGGGCUAAUACCCUCGAGGAAGGACAUCACCCACAGAAGAAGCACCGGCUAACUCCGUGCCAGCAGCCGCGGUAAUACGGAGGGUGCGAGCGUUAAUCAGAAUUACUGGGCGUAAAGCGCGCGUAGGCGGUCUGAUAAGCCGGUUGUGAAAGCCCCGGGCUCAACCUGGGAACGGCAUCCGGAACUGUCAGGCUAGAGUGCAGGAGAGGAAGGUAGAAGUCCCGGUGUAGCGGUGAAAUGCGUAGAGAUCGGGAGGAAUACCAGUGGCGAAGGCGGCCUUCUGGACUGACACUGACGCUGAGGUGCGAAAGCGUGGGUAGCAAACAGGAUUAGAUACCCCAGUAGUC